CAACACUUAGCGGUCAAUAGAAUCUACGAAGUUGUCUUCAUGAUGCUCUAAUCGAAUGAUGCUACAUGAGCACACUUUCAAAGGUUUGAUCUUUGGACAACUUAUAUAACUAAUUUCAAUCAAGAAUAGAGCAAGUCAAUGGCGUCUUAGCAAUUAGAGAAUACAAACUCUUGCAUAACAAUAACAGUUCGCUAUUUCAGUCAUUAUAUUAUCAACCAAUCCUCUGUUUCAACUUCUUUCUAAAGUGAAAUCUACCACAUUCCACAUAUAUGAUACUGAAUUUGCAACAUAUAGACAAAAAUUUCUACCUUUCAACUUCAUUCCAAAGUGACAUUCACCACAUUUACUCGUGAACUUGACUUCUAUUGAAUUCUUGCAUUAGCAAAAGAAAAAAAAAAAGUACCUGAGUGAUGAGCAGGAUAGCCAGCAGGAGGAUAACCACCAGGAGCAGGAGGAUAACCACCAUAACCAGGAGCUGGAGGGUAUCCACCAGGUGCAGGUGGGUAUGCACCCGGAGGAUAACCUGCGGGUGGGUAGGCACCAGGUGGUGGAGGAUAACCUUGUUGUGGCGGGUAUCCAGCAGGUGGAUAAGCUCCAGGACCCGGUGGGUAUCCAGCGGGUGGGUACCCAUGAAACCCUUUGUC
rnacentral:lncRNA from 1 species